UUUCAAAUGAGAGUUUGAUCCUGGCUCAGGACGAACGCUGGCGGCGUGCCUAACACAUGCAAGUCGAGCGAGGGAUUUAUGACGGAUUCCUUCGGGAUGAAGACAUAAAUCACCUAGCGGCGGACGGGUGAGUAACGCGUGAGGAACCUACCUCCUACAAGGGGAUAGCCUCGGGAAACUGGGAUUAAUACCCUAUGACACUUAAGGAUCGCAUGAUCUUUAGGUUAAAGCGAUAUAGC
rnacentral:rRNA from 1 species